rnacentral:lncRNA from 1 species
UUCGAUCUCAUACCAAGCCCUACUUUGACAUUUCAUACAUUACACCAUAUGACAUUGGAUGCAUUUAUCUUCAAGUAUAAUCACCACAUAGGUUCAAGACUUACCAAGCUCAAUCCCAAAUAUAAAUAAAAUGUCUAUUCCUCAUGAGCUCAAGGUGUUUACUCGUACCGUUGUCCAUGAUUGACUCGAUAAGGCCGCACACUUAGAGCAUGCAUAUUUAUUAGAGAAUGUAUAAUAAGCCCGCACACUUAGUGCUUAAUAGUCGAACUCGCACACUUAGUGCUAUAUAAUCAACCUCGCACACUUAGUGCUAUACAAUUUGAACCCGCACACUUAGUGCCAAUCUCAUGAUCAUAAAUGUUUACACCCGCACACUUAGUGCCGAAACCAACAACUCAAUACAUCUCACCUCUUUUCUUUUUCAUUCAAUACUUUCAUCACCCCAUGCAUACAUGUAUAUAUAUAUUUAUCAUUCCAUUCAGCAUCAUUACAUAGACGUUAUGACCAUUUAAAUUAAUACAAAAUAUAUGCUUAAUGACUUACCUUGUGUUGGGUAAGACGGUUCCAACUCGGCUACUCGAUGAUCUUUUCUUUGCCUUCGCUUGAUUCUCCUCCUUUAACUCCUUGAGCUUAAUCAAUAAAUCAACUAGUUUAACCAUCUUGCUAAACAUUCAUAAUUCAAUUACACAUGCAUAUGUAUGUUUGUAUAUUCGGCAACCAUCCUCACAAUUACCCAUUUAGUCUAUUAUACACAUAAUUAAAGGUAACAU